rnacentral:rRNA from 1 species
UACAGAGGGUGCGAGCGUUGUCCGGAAUCACUGGGCGUAAAGGGCGCGUAGGUGGCCUGAUAAGUAGGGGGUGAAAUCUCGAGGCUCAACUUCGAGGCUGCCUCCUAAACUGUCAGGCUUGAGCAGAGUAGAGGCAGGUGGAAUUCCCGGUGUAGCGGUGGAAUGCGUAGAGAUCGGGAAGAACAUCGGUGGCGAAGGCAGCCAUCUGGACCGACACUGACGCUGAGGCGCGAAAGCGUGGGGAGCAAACGGG